rnacentral:lncRNA from 1 species
GUCCAAUCAGCUUGAAACUUAGUACACAUGUUCCCUAUGAUAUGAUCUGUAUGUUUAUGCUUAAUUGGAGUUUGACCCCUAUUUCACGGUCCAUUACACAUAGAAAAUGAUAGUGAGAGUGGGGCAUCCGUGUACUAUGGACACAUUCUUGUUUAGAAUCUACAAUAAUUUCUAAAUUUACAGUAGACAUAAAAAUAAGGGG